rnacentral:tRNA from 1 species
GAACCGUUCGACUUCCGGUUGAGGUCAGCAGGCUUUCAACCUGCGAAGACGGGUUCGACCCCCGUACGGUUUACCA